CCGCACGCCCCCUUUUCUCCUUGGAUUCGCAAAAACCAAGUCCACGUCUCCCUCCCUAUUUGCGAAACCGUCCGCCUGCUCUCUGGGCAAUUCGCGAAAUCCCCUACAAGUUCGCAAGAGGGACGCACACCUCCUCUCAGCCAUUCGCGAGCCCUAGGUCCGACCCUCUCUGCCGUUAGCAAGCCCAAGCCAAAGACCACCAUCUGACCGGUCCUUGCCUUAGCCACCGCCGGCCCUAGCCUCAUCUGUGCCUCCUUCUUGCUGCGAUUUGCUUGGCCAAGAACAAUAGAAAGUGGUUGCAAGUGUUGUUGUACAUGGAUCUUGAUAAUAUCGGCAAGUUAUCCUUUCUCUUCUUGAAGCAUGGAACUUCAAGUAUUUCUUUCUUAUUUUAGAUUUGGAAAUGUGGUUGAUGCCUCUUUCUAUGAUUUUAAAAUUCGGAAAUAUUAUAUGAAAGAUUUUUUUCUUAAGCUUUUCUUGGCAUCAAGAUGAGUUCUGUGUAGGACGAAAAUGCUGAGAUUAUCUUUCCAAAUUUUGUUUUAAGUUCUAAAUGGCAGUAGAAAGUUCCUGUUGAAACUAUAUUUCUACCUAAAGGCUUUGGGAGUUUAAAAUGCAUGUAUUCCUUAAAAGAAAUAAAAUGGUUCUUCGCCUCUUAUGCUAUGUUUUGGUACAGGAAGCAAGAGAUAUAAUCAUUAGAAAUUUUCCCAAAUUUGAUGAUUGUUUCACAUUCAGAUAUUACCGAAUAUAUAUAUAUAUAUAUAUAUAUAUAUAUAUACUUUAUCUUACAAUAUUUUGUGUCAAGAAGAGAUUGAUUGCCAUUUCAUUCCUAAAGCCAAGUCAGAAACCAUUAUAGUUUCUUUUUUCUCUCUGAAUUGGAAUGCGUAAUGGGCCUUUUUAGGUUAUCUUUGGAGGAAAAGAACAUGAUUAUCCUUUUCUAAAUUUUGAAAGAACGUAUACUUUGUUGAUUAUUCUCUUCUGAAGUAAUGAAGAGGUAUUAGAUGGUUGCAAGAUUUGCUUCUUGUAUUUUACUUUUUUUUUUUAAUAUUUAGAUAUACACAUGUCUGACCGCUUACAAGUAACAGUUUCAUGUUUUGUGACGUUGAUUCCAUACUUUCAUAGAAAAUACAUUCGCAUUAUUUGCAAUGGUGGAUUCAGUCAAAGCUUCUCAUGAUAGAUUUUAUCUAUUUAUGUUUAAGUAUUGACUUGUUUCUUGUGAUAUAUUUUCUUGAGGCAAAUUGGGGAGCAUAUCUAUGAACUUAUUUUGUUCCUCCAAAAUUUGAUUGUGGUUGCAUUUUGCUUUAUUAGACGGCUGCACUUCUUUAUUUCUUUUCUUUGAAUGAUUGCAUUAAUUCUUUUUUGUUUUUGAGCAAAAUAGGCAUGCAAGAAGAGAAUGGAAGUUUUCUUCUUAUUAUCUUCAUAAGUAAUUGCUCGCAUGAUUUUUAACUUGUUUGACAUAUUAUUCAUUCAAUAAAAUUAGCGAAGCGCCAUUGUGUUUUUACUUGCUCUCACUAGUGAUAUGACAAAUGAUAUGAUGAAUUGUAUUCAUGAAUAAAGUUAUGGUUUACUGAGAUCUUUGGAAAGAAUGAAUUUGCAGCAAGUCAUCUUUCUUUUCCUAAUUUCAUUUAGCUAUGACUGUUGAGAUAGAAAGUGCAAGAUGCAUGUGUAUAUUUGGUGGAUCAUGAUUGGUGGAAAUUGAUAUACAUAGUCAUGCUUCAUCUUUUACAUGGAUGUUUUCUUCCUAUGGUUUGGGAAAGAAAAAGUGGUUUUGGUAAAGAGUGAAUUUUGAAAAGUGAAAGUAAAGCGUAUGUGAGAGAUUUUGAAAAAUAAAAUGUGUUAUCUUAAAAGGUAAAGAAUGAUUUUGCGAUGAGGUGGAAAAUUUUGGGAAAAUGAAAUGUGUCUGUGAAAGUAGAAAUGCAUGAUUUUGUGGGAAGUGUGUGUGUUGAAAGGUAUUGCUUGAGAAAGAUGAAAUGUGAGAUGUAGGGUUUUGGAAGUUAAGGUGUUUGAUAAGUUUCUUUGAAACUUUGAAAAGUGGAGUGUGUGGAUGUUGGAUAGAGAAUGGUUUGGGUGAUCUUUGGAAAUUAAAAUUUAAAGAAAAGAAAAAGCUCUCUUUCUCUCUAUCUCUCUCUCUCCUUUUCUUCCUCUUUCUUAUGCCUCAAGGUGAAUGUUGGAAAAUUACGAAGUAUGCUUUCAUAAGUAAAAAAGCUCAAAAGGCAAUCAACCACACCGGUGCAUGACCAACCCAAAAAAAAAGAUACGUUUUAAUUUAAAUAGUAUUUUUUAAAUUAUUUUCUUUUUUGAUUAUUAAACAUGCUUCUAAUCCCUGCUUUAUUGUCUUUAUUUUUAUGAACUGCAAGGAAUGUACCGAUCAAGUGAACUAAAGGGAAAUGGGACAGAGGCGUCAAUCGCCUCCAUCCAACCGGUUGGAGGUGCUACGGGCUGAAAUACUAGAUGUUAGCUUCUGUACGCUAUUCGAUGAAUUCAAGGAGCUCACAAAAGAAAAGAAGGCUAAGGAGAGAAGACGAAGAAGUGAAGAAAAGAAAAUAUAUCUCAUUUUAAAAUCACUUGAACUAGUCUUAGGAUUAUAAUUCGGGUUUGUUGUCAGUAAUAUUCGACCACUUUAUUUUUCAACAUAGUCUGAGUUGUAAAUAAAAUGACACUUGCCAUAUGAAAUUUGAAUAUUAUAUAUUGGAUAAUUUAAUUUGAUUGUUUU